GCCGGACCCCGUGACGCUAGUGUCUGUGGAACCCGGAGCCAGGGCAGCCAGGGCAGCCCUUCAUUCGCCAUUGAAACCCGCAGCGUGCGGCAGGGAGGGGAGGGGUGUGCUGCACCGCAGAGCGGGGGCGCAUCCGGGUUCCCCCAGGGCAGAACGAAGCUUCACACCGGCAGCAUCCCUCACCAGAGAAACCCCCAGAGUGGCCAGAGACGGCAAUGCCCUGAGAAACCCAGGGGAAGAAUCCACCCCUGUGAAACACAGAGAGAGCAGACAGCAAUCCACCGUGCUCUGUGGCGCCCUGGAGAGGGGCAGGCCAUGGGCUGAGGCAGAGACGGUGCUGGGCAGGACCCCAGCGGAAGGGAAUGGCCGGCGGCAAACGGCCAUUAGAGACUCCAGGACUCCCAAAUCAAUCCUGCUGACACCUGGGGGGAAAGAAGUCAAGAAGGAAGCAGGCCGAGUGACUUUUCUGUCGGACCCUGAGGAAUACACCAUCCCCGCCGAUAGUUGGUCAGCACGUCCUUUCUUGGGCUACGACUGGAUUGCAGGCAAGUCCUAGCCCCACCGCACAACUGUGGUGUUAUUGGGGUGAUCUGGUUGACGGAGGGGCUAAAAUCCCAACUCACCUCCUGUAUGGCGAAGGGUACAGACCGAGGCGCAGGCCCGGGGCUGGAGACUGCGUGCGCUUUGGGACCAGGGCAUAGUGAGCUGUUGCCCCGGUACUGCUGAAAAAUCUGCAAGUUGGGCAGCGUUCUCAGCACAAGAGCUGCAGUUUUGCCAAGCCAGACGCAGUUCCUCAGUCAGUGCAGAGAUGACCUGUGCUUUCCUGGAACGGCAGUGAGGAGACUGGCCAGGAAUCCAUGCAGCUGCGGUGGGGCUGAGAGAAUUCGAGGGGGAGCCCAGAGGAGCAGGAGAUGAACGAAGGAAACAAGGAGGAGAGAUCAUUUCAAGGCUUUUUGUCACAGAAGUCACUGGCCCCUCCGGGUCAGUGGCGCUGCUGGGGUCUCUCCUUCGACAGGCAGUAUCUGCUUGGCAGUUGGCCACGCUGCUCCCUUCGUGUCUGCUGGUCUGAUCAGUCGCCCUCUUUGGCACUCAGCACCCUGGUUAGCUGACCACUUCACGUGAGCUUUCCCAGGUCACCUGCCUCUGAUGCAGUUCCAGCUUUGAAUUUCCUUCUCCGCUUCGCGUUCCCAGGGCUGCUGGAGACGGACUCGUCGUUGUCCGAGAAAUCUGAGCAGUACUUCUCUGAGCUCCGGGAGUUCCGGCAGGUGAACAAGGAAGCGUGUGUCCAUGAGGAAGACCUGGGGUAAGGAGGGGACUAAGGUGGCAGUGAACGCCAGGAACAAGGGAAGAACUGGCAGGGGGUCUGUGGAGCAGGAGACUGUGAGGAUGGCUCAUCCAGCCCAUCAGCAGGUCACCGAGCGUUUGCUCUCUUUCUGGGGAGCAGCUGUUUGCUAUUGAACUAGAGCCAGGUGCAGAGGGUGAACUGUAUCAUUCCCGCAUGGCCAAGAAACCAGGAACGUCUGGGAGCGAUUGCAAUGGAUUUCUGAAUUAGUUCC
ensembl:lncRNA